UACAGAGGGUGCGAGCGUUGUCCGGAAUCACUGGGCGUAAAGGGCGCGUAGGCGGCCUGAUAAGUAGGGGGUGAAAUCCUGUGGCUUAACUGCAGGGCUGCCUCCUAGACUGUUAGGCUCGAGCACGGUAGAGGCAGAUGGAAUUCCCGGUGUAGCGGUGGAAUGCGUAGAGAUCGGGAAGAACAUCGGUGGUGAAGGCGGUCUGCUGGGCCGUUGCUGACGCUGAGGCGCGACAGCGUGGGGAGCAAACAGG
rnacentral:rRNA from 1 species